CAGUGGGGCCUUCUGGGGUAGUAAUCACUAAAAAACCUCAGGCUCUGCCCUAGUUUCUUUCUCAGUUAUGUUCACAGCCAGCCACGAAGGCUACAGCAGGCAAGUGUGCUAGCGUGAGGGAGCCGCUUUCGCUUUGUUUGGAAGAACAGCUCUUUCUGUGACAACAUGGUGUCACAUAUGGAUGUGAAAUGCACAAUUUGGAGAUUCCUUGGAAUGAAACCAAUGGGAGUCCAGGGUUUAGGAGAGUCUCAUCAGAGCAGAUGGGCCAGCGGCCGCCAGAAAGCUUGUUGCCUUUGGCUGGAGCACCGUCCUGGAAAUGAACGUCUUAACCUGAAGCAGCUGGCUGUAUUUCCAGGCCCACCCAGGUAUUCUACAUGACACCUUCACCGCUGCCUGCAUCCGGUUUCUCACAGUGAGACAACGAAGUCUCACUCCUGAGGUGACACUCAGUGUGGGAUCAGCCCCCAUACGGUUUCUCGAAGCACCUUCACACAUUGUUCCAUGUGACCCACAGUGGCUCAUCAAACUUGGGCGCCAGCCAAUUGGC